rnacentral:tRNA from 1 species
GCAUCAGUGGCGGAAUUGGUAGACGCGUACGUUUGAGGGGCGUAUAGGACUUUCCUGUGCGAGUUCAAGUCUCGCCUGGUGCACCA